GUGGGGAAUAUUGCACAAUGGACGAAAGCCUGAUGCAGCGACGCCGCGUGAGCGAAGAAGUAUUUCGGUAUGUAAAGCUCUAUCAGCGGGGAAGAUAAUGACGGUACCUGACUAAGAAGCUCCGGCUAAAUACGUGCCAGCAGCCGCGGUAAUCCGUAUGGAGCAAGCGUUAUCCGGAUUUACUGGGUGUAAAGGGUGCGUAGGUGGCAGUGCAAGUCAGAUGUGAAAGGCCGGGGCUCAACCCCGGAGCUGCAUUUGAAACUGCUCGGCUAGAGUACAGGAGAGGCAGGCGGAAUUCCUAGUGUAGCGGUGAAAUGCGUAGAUAUUAGGAGGAACACCAGGGGCGAAGGCGGCCUGCUGGACUGUUACUGACACUGAGGCACGAAAGCGUGGGGAGCAAACAGGAUUAGAAACCCGUGUAGUCC
rnacentral:rRNA from 1 species